UCUUAUGUGACACAGAGGUUUGAGCGUUGGACUAUAACUCUGGAGACCAGGGUUCGAAUCCCUGCUCAGCCA